rnacentral:rRNA from 1 species
AGGACGAACGCUGGCGGCGUGCUUAACACAUGCAAGUCGAGCGGAAAGGCCCUUCGGGGUACUCGAGCGGCGAACGGGUGAGUAACACGUGAGCAACCUGCCCUUAGCUCUGGGAUAGCUCCGGGAAACCGGAAUUAAUACCGGAUAUGACCUAGGCCGACAUCGGCCGUGGUGGAAAGUUUUUCGGCUAGGGAUGGACUCGCGGCCUAUCAGCUAGUUGGUGGGGUAAUGGCCUACCAAGGCGACGACGGGUAGCCGGCCUGAGAGGGCGACCGGCCACACUGGGACUGAGACACGGCCCAGACUCCUACGGGAGGCAGCAGUGGGGAAUCUUGCGCAAUGGGCGAAAGCCUGACGCAGCGACGCCGCGUGGGGGAUGAAGGCCUUCGGGUUGUAACCCCUUUCAGCAGGGACGAAGCGAAGUGACGGUACCUGCAGAAGAAGCGCCGGCUAACUACGUGCCAGCAGCCGC